ensembl:lncRNA
CUCAUGGUAUUGUGAAAACUCAAAAGCUCCGCAAUUUAACAUGGCAUAAGGGUGUAGUUGGCACUGACCAAAUAUGAAGGUUAUGAAAUCAAACCCCAAGGAGGAGUUCGCAAAAGUUCGAGGCAUGGAAAUGGCAAAAUUAGAGCCAAAAUGUCACCUUCUCUUCCAAAUGGCGGACUUCCUGUUGGGUUUGCGUCAAUGGGCCCACUGACUUUUUUGUUCGUCUUGGCAUGAUACACAUGUGUGCCAAAUUUCAUACAUGUAGCUCAAACCAUGUGGUCGUAGGGCUGCAUUUAACAAGGCAUAGGUGGCGCUCUAGAGCCAUUUCCCAGUGCUCAUAUGUAAAACCAUUAAAAUACAAAAUUUUUCACCAGACCUGGCAUGUGUGCAAAAUUUCAUGAGUUUUUGAGCAUGUUUAGGCCCUCAAAAAGGCCCUUGUUUCGCCUGAAUAAUAAUAAUAAUAAUAAUAAUAAGAAACGGAGCAGAUACAAUAGGGCCUUCGCACUCUCAGUGCUCGGGCCCUAAUAAUAAUAAUAAUAAUAAUAAUAAUAAUAAACAGAGCAAUUACAAUAGGGCCUUCGCACUGUCAGUGCUCGGGCCCUAAUAAUAAGAAACGGAGCAGAUACAAUAGGGCCUUCGCACUCUCAGUGCUCGGGCCCUAAUAAGAAACGGAGCAGAUACAAUAGGGCCUUCGCACUCUCAGUGCUCGGGCCCUAAUAAUAAUAAUAAUAAUAAUAAUAAUAAUAAUAAUAAUAAUAAUAAUAAGAAACGGAGCAGAUACAAUAGGGCCUUCGCACUCUCGGUGCUCGGGCCCUAAUAAGAA